rnacentral:rRNA from 2 species
GGUGCUUGCAUCAUGAUUUACAUUUGAGUGAGUGGCGAACUGGUGAGUAACACGUGGGAAACCUGCCCAGAAGCGGGGGAUAACACCUGGAAACAGAUGCUAAUACCGCAUAACAACUUGGACCGCAUGGUCCGAGUUUGAAAGAUGGCUUCGGCUAUCACUUUUGGAUGGUCCCGCGGCGUAUUAGCUAGAUGGUGGGGUAACGGCUCACCAUGGCAAUGAUACGUAGCCGACCUGAGAGGGUAAUCGGCCACAUUGGGACUGAGACACGGCCCAAACUCCUACGGGAGGCAGCAGUAGGGAAUCUUCCACAAUGGACGAAAGUCUGAUGGAGCAACGCCGCGUGAGUGAAGAAGGGUUUCGGCUCGUAAAACUCUGUUGUUAAAGAAGAACAUAUCUGAGAGUAACUGUUCAGGUAUUGACGGUAUUUAACCAGAAAGCCACGGCUAACUACGUGCCAGCAGCCGCGGUAAUACGUAGGUGGCAAGCGUUGUCCGGAUUUAUUGGGCGUAAAGCGAGCGCAGGCGGUUUUUUAAGUCUGAUGUGAAAGCCUUCGGCUCAACCGAAGAAGUGCAUCGGAAACUGGGAAACUUGAGUGCAGAAGAGGACAGUGGAACUCCAUGUGUAGCGGUGAAAUGCGUAGAUAUAUGGAAGAACACCAGUGGCGAAGGCGGCUGUCUGGUCUGUAACUGACGCUGAGGCUCGAAAGUAUGGGUAGCAAACAGGAUUAGAUACCCUGGUAGUCCAUACCGUAAACGAUGAAUGCUAAGUGUUGGAGGGUUUCCGCCCUUCAGUGCUGCAGCUAACGCAUUAAGCAUUCCGCCUGGGGAGUACGGCCGCAAGGCUGAAACUCAA